ensembl:rRNA 5S_rRNA 5S ribosomal RNA
GUCUAUGUCAUACCAUCCUGAAGGUACCUGACCACAUCUGUUCUAGGAUGCUAAGCAGGAUCAGGCCUGGUUAGUAUUUGGAUGGGAGACCUCCCCAGAAUACUAUGUACUGUAGGCU